GGUAGCGCAAUCACUUGUCUUUUAAAUAAAGACCUGUAUGAAUGGUGAAACGAGGGCUUAACUGUCUCCCUUUUCUAAUCAGUGAAAUUGAUCUACCCGUGCAGAAGCGGGUAUAAAUAUACAAGACGAGAAGACCCUAUGGAGCUUUAGACAUAAAGCCAUCUAUGUUAAAAACCCCUAAUAAAAGGAACAAAACAAAAUAGCAAUUGACUAAUGUCUUCGGUUGGGGCGACCACGGGGGAAAAUAAAUCCCCCAUGUGGAUUGGGACACUCUCCUAAAACCACGAGGUACACCUCUAAGUCACAGAACUUCUGACCAAGAGAUCCGGCACUUAGCCGAUCAACGAACCAAGUUACCCUAGGGAUAACAGCGCAAUCCCCUUCGAGAGUCCUUAUCGACAAGGGGGUUUACGACCUCGAUGUUGGAUCAGGACAUCCUAAUGGUGCAGCCGCUAUUAAGGGUUCGUUUGUUCAACGAUUAA
rnacentral:rRNA from 1 species